UUCCUGGAUUGACGAGAUAGAGAGCCCUUCCGCUCCAUCAGACAUCCCAGUCGAGCUUCAGCCGACAGACCCAAACUCUCUGGUAAGUCACGACAAUGGCCGCUAUCCUACUCCACUCUCUAUGAUGAAUUCCACGUGGCUCCACCACUCUCUGGCAAGUCACGAUAAUGGCUGCUAUCCUACUCCACUCUUUAUGACAGAUUCCACGUGGCUCCACCAC
rnacentral:lncRNA from 1 species